CUAGUUCUUCCAGUAGUCUAUAUGUUUACACCUAAGCAUAAUAAUAAGGGUCUGAAACCAUCUCUCUCAUAAUUUAUCCAUAGCCUCUUCUACCCCGUCAAAAAUUCUUCCAUUUUGUUCCUUCUGCAUCAUCCAAAAGAUUGCCAAAAGAAUCAACGCCAAACAUUUUUUCUUUUCAGACAAAUCCUUCCAAGCCCAUAGUUCUUCUUUCACAAUCCCAG
rnacentral:lncRNA from 1 species